rnacentral:other from 1 species
CAUCCUCUGCUGUAUGCGAUAGCAGCUAAGAUCUCCUUGAGCCUAAUCUCCAACCCAGGGGACUUUAUAUGGUACCGGUGUGCAUGUCCGUCAUGUACGGAAAGCCUGAAGGGACCAUUGCUGUCCCCCUCUUGAACCUUUGGUUCAGGGGCAACAGUUGCAACGGUACAAGUGGAGGAUGC